CUGACGGUGGGCCAGAAUGUGUGGAGUAUAGCUGGUGUUCUGUACCAUCUAGUGACUCUUUUGUAAAAGGUCUCUUUACGGGCCACACUAAUAGGGGUUCUAAUCCCUGUUUCCAUAAUGUCUGUCCAGUCCCUGUCCGUCAUAUGUAUAUGGAGGUCUCUCAUCCAUUUCUGUUGGAAUGUAGGUGGUGUAUGCUCGACUUCAGUUGUCUGAAUAAUGCGAUAUAUUUUUGAUAGGGGUCGUUUUGAGUCGCUCUUUGGGCCACAUAGGUUUUCAAAGGGAGUAAUAUCUCUUGGACGCCAAAAGGGGAUGACCGACCUAUUUAAAAAGUUCUUAAGUUGUGUUCUGCCCAUAAUAUCGAGGAGUGUAUCCUGUCUAUUCCGUCUAGGGAGAGUUUUAAUGUGGGUGGGUCCCCGGCUGUCAGAACCUCAGUGAUGUCUGGGUUUGGCGAUCCUGUAAGCCUUACUAGGGUGGAACUCCCCUGUCCUCUCUGGAAGUCUAGGUUGCCUGCUAAGGGGAAAAACUUAGUGCCGGGGAUAGUCCCCAUGUGUCUUCGUAUCGUCUCCAUUUUGUGAGGGCAUUGUGAUUGAGUGGGUGAUGCGUUGGGGAGAGUUCCUUGAGUUGAC